rnacentral:misc_RNA from 1 species
AUGAGUGAAGAUAUUGGAGUGACACGGUUCCGUGAGUAUCUUCGUGUCAAUACUGAACAGCCAAAACCAGAUUACGAGGCUUGCCGGGAUUUCCUUUUCAAGUAUGCCGACGAGUUGGGAAUCGAAAGACGAUCUGUAGAGACUGCUCCAGGAACAUACUUCGUUAUUAUGACAAUCCCUGGCUCCAAACCUGAUCUUCCAUCAAUUAUGCUCUAUUCUCAUACUGAUGUCGUUCCAACUUUCCGAGAAUAUUGGACUCAUGAUCCAUAUUCCGCUUUCAAAGAUGAAGAUGGAAACAUUUUUGCUCGCGGAGCACAAGAUAUGAAAUGUGUUGGAGUACAAUAUAUGGAGGCUUUAAGAAAUUGGUUCGCAAAAGGAGUUAAACAAUGGACUCGUACAAUUCACAUUGUUUGGGGACCAGAUGAGGAAAUUGGUCAUAUCAAUGGAAUGAAAGGAUUUGCAGUUACUGAAGAAUUCAAGAAAUUGAAUAUUGAUUUUGCUCUUGAUGAGGGAAUUGCCACUGAAGAUGAUGUCUACAAGAUAUUUUAUGCAGAGAGAAUCCCUUGGUGGGUAAAAGUCACACUUCCUGGACAUCCUGGACAUGGUUCUAAAUUCAUUGAAAAGACUGCCAUUGAGAAAUUGCACAAGUUAAUCGCCAGCGUUGACGAGUUCCGAAAUGAGCAAAAGUCUCUUCUAGCGGAGCAUCCAGAAUGGACAGUUGGAGAUGUGACUACUUCAAAUAUCACGAUUAUUAACGGAGGAGUACAAGUAAAUGUGGUGCCGGAAAAGUUCGAAGCUUACAUUGAUAUUCGCGUAACUCCACUCCAAGAUCUGGAUGCUGUUCUAGCACGUGUAGAUCAAUGGGCUAAAGAAGCUGGAGAAGGUGUUACCUAUGAAUUCAUGCAGGUACUUUCAUUCAAUUCUCACCUCACUAACUCACCUAACAAGUCUCCCCGUGUUCAUUUAAUCUGCUCACCUUAUAAAAUCGCUUCUUGUCCAACGUCUUUUUCAGUCAACUAAUCCAGCGGACAAGUCGACAAUCGAUUUCGAAACGGUAAGAUUUUGAUGGAAAAUCGAUUAAUUUAUUAGAUUAUGAAGGUUAAAUGAGAAUUUGUAAAGUUGAGCACAACAUUUUUUACCCGGAAAAAUCUUUAUGUGUUUUGUAAGUCAAAAUUGCUUCUAAAAUUGAUCCCUUCGUUUGCUCUCCGUUUAAAUUCCUGAAAAAUUCAUAAUUUCAAAAUUAGGCGCACUUUCACUUUUUUGUAUCACUACAUUUCCGUUACUCUCUGUAAACACCUUGGGUUAGCACAUGGUUUUACUUUUAGGUAAGCUUACAUUAAUUUAAAAAUAUAAAUCAUACUCUUUUCAGUUCUCCAAUUUCAAAUUGAUUUCUCCAAACACCCGGGAGGAUCCAUUUUGGGCAGCAAUUGAUGAUGCACUUCAAAAAGAAGGUUGCAAAUACAAGAAGGAGAUCUUCAUCGGAGCCACUGAUUCACGAUUUGUCAGAGCGCAAGGAAUCCGCGCCAUUGGCUUCUCCCCAAUCAUCAAUACUCCAUCGCUUCUGCACGAUCACAACGAAUUUUUGAAUGAGAAAACAUUCUUGAGAGGUGUUGAAAUCUACGAGACACUGAUCAACAAACUGGCCAAUGUUAACUAA